UGGGGAAUUUUGGACAAUGGGCGAAAGCCUGAUCCAGCAAUGCCGCGUGUGUGAAGAAGGCCUUCGGGUUGUAAAGCACUUUUGUCCGGAAAGAAAUCCUCUGGGUUAAUACCUCGGGGGGAUGACGGUACCGGAAGAAUAAGCACCGGCUAACUACGUGCCAGCAGCCGCGGUAAUACGUAGGGUGCAAGCGUUAAUCGGAAUUACUGGGCGUAAAGCGUGCGCAGGCGGUUUGCUAAGACCGAUGUGAAAUCCCCGGGCUCAACCUGGGAACUGCAUUGGUGACUGGCAGGCUAGAGUAUGGCAGAGGGGGGUAGAAUUCCACGUGUAGCAGUGAAAUGCGUAGAGAUGUGGAGGAAUACCGAUGGCGAAGGCAGCCCCCUGGGCCAAUACUGACGCUCAUGCACGAAAGCGUGGGGAGCAAACAGGAUUAGAUACCCUGGUAGUCCACGCCCUAAACGAUGUCAACUAGUUGUUGGGGAUUCAUUUCCUUAGUAACGUAGCUAACGCGUGAAGUUGACCGCCUGGGGAGUACGGUCGCAAGACUGAAACUCAAAGGAAUUGACGGGGUCAUAGCUGUUUCCU
rnacentral:rRNA from 1 species